rnacentral:hammerhead_ribozyme from 1 species
AUCCAGCUGACGAGUCCCAAAUAGGACGAGAAAACACACGUUCUGGAU